rnacentral:lncRNA from 1 species
AUGUGCCCACUUGCAGCCUCCUGGGUCAGACAGCUCCUUGUGAAGUCUUCCGAGUGUCUGGGGGAGCCCGGGACGGAACCUUCUUCCCUGGUCUCCAGCUCAGCUUGGUCAGCCUGCACACACAAAUACACAGUAAGGACAUCUGUGGCCAGCCUUGGGCUUUCACCAAGGUGCUACCUGAAUGUUUGGGGUCACAGCUGAUCUGCUUUCAUUGAGCUCUACGCGAAGAUGGGGAAGAACAAACGGAAGGGAAACAGCUUCUCCAUGAACUACAGUCAUUUUUCACAAUGUCUAUUUGCAUCCUUCCUGAAUUUAGUUUUCAAAAGAAACUAAUGAGUGAAAACAUGAAAUCCGGAGGACAUUACAUACGUGUGGAACACCCUGUUAUUUACAAACUGCUUUCCAUGUAUUUCACCAAUUGACAAAGGGGAGGAUCCUUUAAAAAUUUUGAGCUCAUGUAGAAGGAGCUGGAAUGUGCAAAGUGACUCCUGAUGCUGGGGAGGGCUGCUGCCCUGAUAUUAAGAGAGGCUGAGGGGUCUAUCUGUGUGUGCACCAGGAUGGAUGAAAGCAUUUCCCAUCCACGCUUCCCUUUUCUGCCCUGCUAAUGACCUCAGCCCUGGCCUGAGGGACCAACAUCCCUUAGAAUGAGAGGUUAUUUAGCUUUGAUAUGAGUGCAACAUUGGGCAUCUCUGCAGAGAAAUUGCUUACUCUAAAAAUUUAGCUUCUUUCUUUUUCUUGUAAGUGGAAACAUAGGAAGAAAUGUGGUUUGGAAAAAAGAGUAUAUGGAAAAAACGAAGCCGUGCCAGGAAUGAGCUUUGGGUGGAGGAAAGAAGAUGGAUUUUGUGUUGGCUGGAAGAGAAGACGGUCAGGAUCUAUAGGAGAGAAACUUGGGUGCCCAACUUUGCUCAAGGUGAUGUGCGUUUCGACAGCGCACUUCUGCACAAGCUGUGAG